GGUUCACGAGUUCGCGUGGUCACAGACUCGCAGUCCUCUAUGGCGGCGAUCGAUGGCCGGGAGCGACGACUCGAUCGUACUUGGGUCUGAUCGGUGUCUUUCUGUUUGGUUGUUCGAUGAGGAGGGGACGAUCGUGCUUGGUUAACCGCUCGAUCAAGAUGACGAGGGGACGAGCAGGCGGAGAGAGUCCCGGACCGCGUGCCGAUUCAAGUCGAGGCAAAUAGGGAUCUGGCUGUUUGGCUGUUCAGUGAAGGAGAUCGUCCACUGGGAUUUGAAGGAGGCAAUAAUUUUCUAUUUCUAGAGGCAUUCAUGACGGAUUUUGUGCGCCACUCACGGAGAUUAAUUGAGAUCCAAUCGCGGGGCGGUUCGAGCACUGGUGAGGCUACGCGAUUCGGAUCUACUUUGAUGAGGGGACGCUGCCAUAGGACACAUGCGAUGGCCGGCAAGAGGAAGCGUGGAGCACCGGCCCAAGGAUGAGUUGGGGAUGCUGGUCGGCGGUGGCCAGAUGACGCUGGUUGGCGGAUAGAAAACAACACUGGGAUAGGGCAGCCAACCAAAGGCAUGGAUGUUGUUGGCAGCCACAAGGAGCUAGAGUCCAUCGGGUGGUGCCUCUUGCCCAGUCACCAACGAUGAAAGCAAGCUACAAUACCAGCUUGCUCAGCCAAUGGAUCCCGCGGCCAUCAUUGGACAUAAACUCAUAUUCUUGAGCCUUUAGUUCUCUCCUCUCCCAGCUUGCACUCGCGAUUGGUCGAAGAGCAGCUCCAGCUUCCAUGGUGGAUAUUUAUGCAAGGCUGGCCAUCUCUGUUUGUAAAUCUUGAGGCUCACCCCAUUAUUGGUCCAUCAGGUUUUUUCAAAGCCUCCCAUGGUUGCCCUUACAUUUCUGAUUUUGGUAAAUUGAGUACUCAAUGCAAUUAUAGAGUGAAGAGGGAGUGCUAACUAUAUUAUUGUUUGUUCAGCAACUCCAGAAUGUAUUAUAGCGUUCAUGCACUAUUUAUGGCAGAUCUCUAUAUUGCCCAUCAGAUGCUUGUCGGGAUGUCUCAAUUGUCUAACAAACCGUAAGGUUCUGGAAGGAUUUUAUUUCACCCUUAUAGAACAGUUUUGAGCUAUCUACGGCAAUGUUUUGGUUGUUGCUCAGAUAAUUCAUAUGUGAAGAUAUUUUCAUAGGUUCUGAGCUAUAUGUUAAUAUGCUCUUUACAAUGCCUCCAAUUUCUGGAAGUAUCAAAGGUUUGCUUACAUUAGGCAACACUUCUACAAUUCGUUCCUCAAAGUUUAUCUCAAAUGUAAGUGUAUACGUUUUGUUUAGAUGCAGAAUCUAUGGAGUUUGAUUCAGAUGGUAUUGCCAAUGCUUAUUAAUUGUUUCUACAACUUAUUUUGGGUAAACCUAAUGGUUCAGUUACAAAAAUAUCUGAUUAAUCUUUCUUGAAGGCAUUUCCCUACUAUAUAGUAUGUGUGACACUGUGUGUAUUAUUAGUGAAGAGUGGGUUUUUUCAGGGAAUGGAGAGUGGUUUUUUUCGGGGAUGGAGAGUGAUUAUUUGUUAUGACAUGUCAAGCAUCGGUCAAGAUUUUACUAAGGCAUUAUGCAUUAAUUGUACACUGUU